CCUACGGGCGGCAGCAGUGAGGAAUAUUGGUCAAUGGGCGCGAGCCUGAACCAGCCAAGUAGCGUGAAGGAUGACUGCCCUACGGGUUGUAAACUUCUUUUAUAAAGGAAUAAAGUGAGGCACGUGAGCCUUUUUGUAUGUACUUUAUGAAUAAGGAUCGGCUAACUCCGUGCCAGCAGCCGCGGUACUACGGAGGAUCCGAGCGUUGUCCGGAUAUAUUGGGUUUAAAGGGAGCGUAGAGGGGUUGUUAAGUCAGUUGUGAAAGUUUGCGGCACAACCGUAAAAUUGCAAUUGAUACUGGCAGUCUUGAGUACAGGAGAGGUAGGCGGAAUUCGAGGUGUAGCGGUGAAAUGCGUAGAUAUAACGAAGAACUCCGAUUGCGAAGGCAGCUUACUAAACUGCCACUGACAUUGAUGCUCGAAAGUGUGGGUAUCAAACAGGAUUAGAUACCCCAGUAGUC
rnacentral:rRNA from 1 species